AGAGUUUGAUUUCAGGCUCAGGACGAACUCUGGCGGCGUGCCUAAUACAUGCAGUCGAGCGGAUCUUCUCCUUCUGGAGAAGGUUAGCGGCGGACNGGUGAGUAACACUUAGGCAACCUGCCCCUUCGAUCGGGAUAACAUUCGGAAACNAAUGCUAAGACCGGAUUCAUUAUCUUGCCNCAUAUCUGGAUGAGGAAACACGGUGCAUGCUGUGUCGAAUGGAUGGGCCUGCGCCUCAUUAUCUAUUUGGUGAGGUAACGGCCCACCAUGGCGACUAUGCGUAGCCGACCUGAAAGGGUGACUUUCUUCUCUGGGACUGAUACUUUCCUUAUCUCCUAUUGGAGGCAG
rnacentral:rRNA from 1 species